rnacentral:rRNA from 1 species
UUAGAGUUUGAUCCUGGCUCAGAUUGAACGCUGGCGGUAUGCUUAACACAUGCAAGUCGAACGGAAACGAAACUAGCUUGCUAGUAGGCGUCGAGUGGCGGACGGGUGAGUAACGCGUAGGAAUCUGCCUGAUAGUGGGGAAUAGCCCGAAGAAAUUCGGAUUAAUACCGCAUAAUCUAUUCGUAGUAAAGUGGGGACUUUCGAGCCUCACGCUAUCAGAUGAGCCUGCGUAAGAUUAGCUUGUUGGUAGGGUAAAAGCCUACCAAGGCUACGAUCUUUAGCUGGUCUGAGAGGAUGAUCAGCCACAUCGGGACUGAGACACGGCCCGAACUCCUACGGGAGGCAGCAGUGGGGAAUAUUGGACAAUGGGGGCAACCCUGAUCCAGCAAUACCGCGUGUGUGAAGAAGGCCUGAGGGUUGUAAAGCACUUUCAAUUGUGAAGAAAAGUUAACGGUUAAUAACCGUUGACCUUGACGUUAACUUUAUAAGAAGCACCGGCUAACUCCGUGCCAGCAGCCGCGGUAAUACGGAGGGUGCAAGCGUUAAUCGGAAUUACUGGGCGUAAAGCGUGCGUAGGCGGUUUAUUAAGUCAGAUGUGAAAGCCCCGGGCUUAACCUGGGAACUGCAUUUGAAACUGGUCAACUAGAGUAUGGUAGAGGAAAGUGGAAUUUCUGGUGUAGCGGUGAAAUGCGUAGAUAUCAGAAGGAACAUCAAUGGCGAAGGCAGCUUUCUGGACCAAUACUGACGCUGAGGUACGAAAGCGUGGGUAGCAAACAGGAUUAGAUACCCUGGUAGUCCACGCCGUAAACGAUGAUAACUAGCCGUUGGGGGGAUUUACCCCUUAGUGGCGAAGCUAACGCGUUAAGUUAUCCGCCUGGGGAGUACGGCCGCAAGGCUAAAACUCAAAGGAAUUGACGGGGACCCGCACAAGCGGUGGAGCAUGUGGUUUAAUUCGAUGCAACGCGAAGAACCUUACCUGGUCUUGACAUCCUGCGAACUUUCUAGAAAUAGAUUGGUGCCUUCGGGAACGCAGUGACAGGUGCUGCAUGGCUGUCGUCAGCUCGUGUCGUGAGAUGUUGGGUUAAGUCCCGUAACGAGCGCAACCCCUAUCCUUAUUUGCCAGCACAUUAUGGUGGGAACUAUAAGGAGACUGCCGGUGAUAAACCGGAGGAAGGCGGGGACGACGUCAAGUCAUCAUGGCCCUUACGACCAGGGCUACACACGUGCUACAAUGGGAAGUACAAAGAGUCGCGAAGCCGCGAGGCGUAGCUAAUCUCACAAAUCUUCUCGUAGUCCGGAUUGGAGUCUGCAACUCGACUCCAUGAAGUCGGAAUCGCUAGUAAUCGUAGAUCAGAAUGCUACGGUGAAUACGUUCCCGGGUCUUGUACACACCGCCCGUCAUACCAUGGGAGUGGGUUGCACCAGAAGUGGCUAGUCUAACUUUGUGAGGACGGUCACCACGGUGUGAUUCAUGACUGGGGUAAAGUCGUAACAAGGUAACCAAGGCGAAUUCGUA